GCGCCAGUAGCUCAGCUGGAUAGAGCAACGCCCUUCUAAGGCGUGGGCCGGGGGUUCGAAUCCCUCCUGGCGCG
rnacentral:tRNA from 1 species